CAGAAAACUGCCUUUGACAUUUGAUUUCUUUUCUAUAUUCUAGAAGUCUUCUGUGUGGCUUACUAGGCCAUUGAGCUUAAGCUUCUAUUAGCUCAGGAUUCUCCAGAGACAUAGAACCAAUAGGAUGUUUACCAGAGAGAGAUUUACUUUAAGGAAUUGGCUCAAGCAUUGAUGAGGGCUGGCAAAUCCAAAAUCUGCAGAGCAGGCCAACAGGCCAGAGACCCAGGAAGACUUGAUGUUGCAGCUUGAGUCCAAAGGCAGUCUGGAAGCAGAAUUCUCUUCCUCUGGGGACCUCAGUCUGUUUUCUCUUAAGUCCUUCAGCUGAUUAGAUGGGGUCCACUCACAUUAUGGAAGAUGAACCAGCUCUUACACACUCUUUAUGAGAGCAUAAAGACCAAAUAACUCAGCACAGAGAAGCGGAGAACAAUCGACAACACCUGGCAUUUGCUGAACUGGACUGGAAAAUCUCCUGAAGAGAUCCUAGGCGAGAAUUGGAAACUGACAAUGUGGAGGCCAGAGAUGCAUCCAUGGGCUGGGCCAUGAGACAAAUCAGAAUGAAAACACACUGCAUCGUCCUUCCAAUGACUAAGGUUUUUAUACUGGCCCAACCUUUGCAUACCUCACUCCUACCUCCCCACAAGGAGGCACCUCACCUGACCUCCUCCCUUUU
ensembl:lncRNA